CCUACGGGGGGCAGCAGUGGGGAAUAUUGGGCAAUGGGCGCAAGCCUGACCCAGCAACGCCGCGUGAAGGAAGAAGGCUUUCGGGUUGUAAACUUCUUUUCUGAGGGACGAAGAACGUGACGGUACCUCAGGAAUACGCCACGGCUAACUACGUGCCAGCAGCCGCGGUAAUACGUAGGGGGCAAGCGUUAUCCGGAUUUACUGGGUGUAAAGGGGGCGCAGACGGCAAUGCAAACCAGGAGUGAAAGCCCGGGGCCCAGCCCCGGGACUGCUCUUGGAACUGCAUGGCUGGAGUACAGGAGGGGCAGGCGGAAUUCCUAGUGUAGCGGUGAAAUGCGUAGAUAUUAGGAGGAACACCGGUGGCGAAGGCGGCCUGCUGGACUGUGACUGACGUUGAGGCCCGAAGGCGUGGGGAGCAAACAGGAUUAGAUACCCUUGUAGUC
rnacentral:rRNA from 1 species